rnacentral:lncRNA from 1 species
GUCUUAACCGUGUCAACUGAACAGGCGCUUAAAUCAUUAAACUGGAGUUUCCUGUCUACCACGCACAGCCUGACUCCAGACAACCUUGUGCACCUGCCCCUGACUCGGAGGAACUGCUGUCUCGCGCUCAACAUCAGCAAACCGUCGAUAGGUCGGUGCUCGCGCCACAAAUCAUAAGCACCGGUUACCUCGUGCUCUAGACGGUCGCUGAACCGUAGGAAGGGUCGUGCUUUCAGGCAAAGGUGAGACCGGAGGUGAACAACGCGCCAACUGACAAAAACAGCCUAUUACCCGGAGAAUAAAUGAUACUAGGAUGACAGCUGUGGCGGAGGGCUGCCGAUCCUUGGUGGAUUAAUGGUUAAACGGCUCGGACUGUGAAUGAACCAGACGUGUGCCUCUAGUCUCCAUCAUCAUCCAGAAUGCAUCGUAGGAGAACCAUGAAGGGGCUCGCCCCACAGACCCCAGCCCAGGAACAGUAACCUCCGUCUGGGUCCCACCCCACCCGGAUGGCCUCCCAACCCCCCUGUGAGGCAGCUCGCCCCCGCCCAGCAGAGGAGCAGCCGAGGCUCUUGACCCCCAUCUCUCCCCUCGCUCCAGCCGUAGCUCCAGCCCUCGCUCUGCUCUGUCCAUCUCUGGAAUGAAGACAGCCAGUAGGGCCAGGCCCCGCUCCCCUAGCCCCCGGCCCCGACCACCACGCUCCCCCAGCCCUGGCCCUCAGCUCGUCCAGAUGAGACGCUACAGGCCUGGGGUUGGGGUGUACCCUUUCCUGUUCCCCUCGGUCAUCAGCACUCUGCCGCUGGCUAACCGGUCGGGUUCUCCCCCCCCUCCGAGACUGCAGGUCCAGCAGCCCUCCAGCAGCGUUAAUACUCCAUCGCCUGCAGAUGACGGAUACUAUUUAGACUGCCAUCACAGCCACACAGUGCAAACUAAGACACAAACUGUGGAAAGACAUGUACUAACAGAGAGAAUGAAAACAUGUGGCCUUAACUGUCCAAAAAAUAAAGAACGAGAG